UACGGAGGGGGCAAGCGUUCUUCGGAAUUACUGGGCGUAAAGGGCGCGUAGGCGGCCAGUUGCGUCGGGUGUGAAAGCCCCGGGCUCAACCUGGGAGGUGCACUUGAUACGGGCUGGCUGGAAUCCGGGAGAGGAUGGCGGAAUUCCCAGUGUAGAGGUGAAAUUCGUAGAUAUUGGGAAGAACACCGAUGGAGAAGGCAGCCAUCUGGACCGGGAUUGACGCUGAGGCGCGAAAGCGUGGUGAGCAAACAGG
rnacentral:rRNA from 1 species